rnacentral:rRNA from 1 species
ACUGCUCAGUAACACGUGGAUAACCUGCCCUUGGGUCCGGCAUAACCCCGGGAAACUGGGGAUAAUUCCGGAUAACGCAUAUAUGCUGGAAUGCUUUAUGCGUAAAAUGGAUUCGUCUGCCCAAGGAUGGGUCUGCGGCCUAUCAGGUAGUAGUGGGUGUAAUGUACCUACUAGCCGACGACGGGUACGGGUUGUGAGAGCAAGAGCCCGGAGAUGGAUUCUGAGACAUGAAUCCAGGCCCUACGGGGCGCAGCAGGCGCGAAAACUUUACAAUGCGGGAAGCCGUGAUAAGGGGACACCGAGUGCCAGCAUCAUAUGCUGGCUGUCCGGGUGUGUAAAAUACACCUGUUAGCAAGGGCCGGGCAAGACCGGUGCCAGCCGCCGCGGUAACACCGGCGGCCCGAGUGGUGAUCGUGAUUAUUGGGUCUAAAGGGUCCGUAGCCGGUUUGGUCAGUCCUCCGGGAAAUCUGACGGCUCAACCGUUAGGCUUUCGGGGGAUACUGCUAGGCUUGGAACCGGGAGAGGUAAGAGGUACUACAGGGGUAGGAGUGAAAUCUUGUAAUCCCUGUGGGACCACCUGUGGCGAAGGCGUCUUACCAGAACGGGUUCGACGGUGAGGGACGAAAGCUGGGGGCACGAACCGGAUUAGAUACCCGGGUAGUCCCAGCCGUAAACGAUGCUCGCUAGGUGUCAGGCAUGGCGCGACCGUGUCUGGUGCCGCAGGGAAGCCGUGAAGCGAGCCACCUGGGAAGUACGGCCGCAAGGCUGAAACUUAAAGGAAUUGGCGGGGGAGCAC